AUGUUGACCGAUGCCAGCGCAUAGGCGAAACA
rnacentral:scRNA from 1 species